UAUUGCACAAUGGGCGCAAGCCUGAUGCAGCCAUGCCGCGUGUGUGAAGAAGGCCUUCGGGUUGUAAAGAACUUUCAGUCAGGAGGAAAGGUUAGUAGUUAAUACCUGCUAGCUGUGACGUUACUGACAGAAGAAGCACCGGCUAACUCCGUGCCAGCAGCCGCGGUAAUACGGAGGGUGCGAGCGUUAAUCGGAAUUACUGGGCGUAAAGCGUACGCAGGCGGUUUGUUAAGCGAGAUGUGAAAGCCCCGGGCUCAACCUGGGAACUGCAUUUCGAACUGGCAAACUAGAGUGUGAUAGAGGGUGGUAGAAUUUCAGGUGUAGCGGUGAAAUGCGUAGAGAUCUGAAGGAAUACCGAUGGCGAAGGCAGCCACCUGGGUCAACACUGACGCUCAUUACGAAA
rnacentral:rRNA from 1 species